rnacentral:rRNA from 1 species
UACGGAGGGGGCUAGCGUUGUUCGGAAUUACUGGGCGUAAAGCGCGCGUAGGCGGACCUGCAAGUCGGGGGUGAAAGCCCGAGGCUCAACCUCGGAACUGCCUUCGAUACUGCGGGUCUCGAGUCCGGGAGAGGUGAGUGGAAUUCCUAGUGUAGAGGUGAAAUUCGUAGAUAUUCGCAAGAACACCAGUGGCGAAGGCGGCUCACUGGCCCGGUACUGACGCUGAGGUGCGAAAGCGGGGGGAGCAAACAGG